GUUCAUGCGGUAAACCAUCCCUACAGGAUCUGGGGUCUGCUGUGCAGAUUCCAAUUUGUAUUUCCUCAGCACCUGUUUGAAAGUGUUUACACAUGUAAUGCUUUCAAAUACUGACAAUGAAUAUACAACAUCUUGGCAGGUAUAAGAUAACCCCCAAUAUUUGCAUCACUGGCCAAGACACGACUGUUUGCACCAGCAGUGGAAGAGAGUCGAAGAGUCUCUUUGAUGCAGGCUCGUAAGAAGGACAUCUCCUGGACUGAUCCUUGCCCUAAAGCCUCUUGAUAUGCUUGCUGCUGAACUGCAGGAUUAAUUGCGAGGUAAUGAAAUGUCAUUGCCAUUGUGGUGGCUGUCUGUUAAGAAAUAAUAUGAGAAUGGUUACAUUUAGACAUCUGGCUAAUGAAAUAGAAACAGUUCAUAUUCUUUGCUG